rnacentral:rRNA from 1 species
GACGAACGCUGGCGGCGGGCUUAACACAUGCAAGUCGAACGGAAAGGCCCUGCUUUUGUGGGGUGCUCGAGUGACGAACGGGUGAGUAACACGUGAGUAACCUGCCCUUGACUUUGGGAUAACUUCAGGAAACUGGGGCUAAUACCGGAUAGGAGCUCCUGCUGCAUGGUGGGGGUUGGAAAGUUUCGGCCGUUGGGGAUGGACGCGCGGCUUAUCAGCUUGUUGGUUGGGUAGUGGCUUACCAAGGCUUUGACGGGUAGCCGGCCUGAGAGGGUGACCGGCCACAUUGGGACUGAGAUACGGCCCAGACUCCUACGGGAGGCAGCAGUGGCGAAUAUUGCACAAUGGGCGGAAGCCUGAUGCAGCAACGCCGCGUGCGGGAUGACGGCCUUCGGGUUGUAAACCGCUUUCGCCUGUGACGAAGCGUGAGUGACGGUAAUGGGUAAAGAAGCACCGGCUAACUACGUG